rnacentral:rRNA from 1 species
GACGAACGCUGGCGGCGUGCUUAACACAUGCAAGUCGAACGGAAAGGCCUGCUUUCCCUUGUGGAUUGCGGGUACUCGAGUGGCGAACGGGUGAGUAACACGUGAGUGAUCUGCCCCCAACUUGGGUAUAAGCCUGGGAAACUGGGUCUAAUUCCCGAUAGGACUGCAGGGUGGUGCCUGUGGUGGAAAACGAUUUUCUAGUGGUUGGGGAUGAGCUCGCGGCCUAUCAGCUUGUUGGUGGGGUAAUGGCCUACCAAGGCGGCGACGGGUAGCCGGCCUGAGAGGGUGGACGGCCACAUUGGGACUGAGAUACGGCCCAGACUCCUACGGGAGGCAGCAGUGGGGAAUAUUACACAAUGGGCGGAAGCCUGAUGCAGCGACGCCGCGUGGGGGAUGACGGCCUUCGGGUUGUAAACUCCUUUCGACCGCGAGGAAGCCACCUGGUUGGAAGGGUGGUGACGGUAGUGGUAGAAGAAGCACCGGCUAACUACGUG